CACGCAUGGCUCGUGAGGCGUCCGGACUGGCCCAGAGAGGUGGGCAACUACCACUCAGGGCCGGAAAGCUCUCCAAACUCGGUCAUUUAGAGGAAGUAAAAGUCGUAACAAGGUCUCCGUUGGUGAACCAGCGGAGGGAUCAUUACCGAGUUUACAACUCCCAAACCCCUGUGAACAUACCACUUGUUGCCUCGGCGGAUCAGCCCGCUCCCGGUAAAACGGGACGGCCCGCCAGAGGACCCCUAAACUCUGUUUCUAUAUGUAACUUCUGAGUAAAACCAUAAAUAAAUCAAAACUUUCAACAACGGAUCUCUUGGUUCUGGCAUCGAUGAAGAACGCAGCAAAAUGCGAUAAGUAAUGUGAAUUGCAGAAUUCAGUGAAUCAUCGAAUCUUUGAACGCACAUUGCGCCCGCCAGUAUUCUGGCGGGCAUGCCUGUUCGAGCGUCAUUUCAACCCUCAAGCACAGCUUGGUGUUGGGACUCGCGUUAAUUCGCGUUCCUCAAAUUGAUUGGCGGUCACGUCGAGCUUCCAUAGCGUAGUAGUAAAACCCUCGUUACUGGUAAUCGUCGCGGCCACGCCGUUAAACCCCAACUUCUGAAUGUUGACCUCGGAUCAGGUAGGAAUACCCGCUGAACUUAAGCAUAUCAAUAAGCGGAGGAAAAGAAACCAACAGGGAUUGCCCUAGUAACGGCGAGUGAAGCGGCAACAGCUCAAAUUUGAAAUCUGGCUCUCGGGCCCGAGUUGUAAUUUGUAGAGGAUACUUUUGAUGCGGUGCCUUCCGAGUUCCCUGGAACGGGACGCCAUAGAGGGUGAGAGCCCCGUCUGGUUGGAUGCCAAAUCUCUGUAAAGUUCCUUCAACGAGUCGAGUAGUUUGGGAAUGCUGCUCUAAAUGGGAGGUAUAUGUUCUUCUAAAGCUAAAUACCGGCCAGAGACCGAUAGCGCACAAGUAGAGUGAUCGAAAGAUGAAAAGCACUUUGAAAAAGAGACUUAAAAAGUACGUGAAAUUGUUGAAAGGGGAAGCACUGGGGCUCGUACUACAUAUCAAAUUCUUCUAACUCUACACGCACCUCCCUCCACCACCCCCCCCCUCCCCGUCCUCACU
rnacentral:rRNA from 1 species